rnacentral:rRNA from 1 species
CAGCCGUAAACGAUGCGCGUUAGGUGUAUCGGUGACCACGAGUCACCGAGGUGCCGAAGGGAAACCGUGAAACGUGCCGCCUGGGAAGUACGGUCGCAAGGCUAAAAACUUAAAGGAAUUGGCGGGGGAGCACCACAACGGGUGGAGCCUGCGGUUUAAUUGGACUCAACGCCGGGAAGCUCACCGGAUAAGACAGCGGAAUGAUUGCCGGGCUGAAGACUCUGCAUGACCAGCUGAGAGGAGGUGCAUGGCGUCAGUGACU